rnacentral:rRNA from 1 species
UACGUAGGGUACGAGCGUUAAUCGGAAUUACUGGGCGUAAAGCGUGCGCAGGCGGUUUUGUAAGCCAGGUGUGAAAUCCCCGGGCUUAACCUGGGAAUGGCAUUUGGGACUGCAAGGCUCGAGUGCGGCAGAGGAGACUGGAAUUCCUGGUGUAGCAGUGAAAUGCGUAGAUAUCAGGAGGAACACCGAUGGCGAAGGCAGGUCUCUGGGCUGACACUGACGCUCAUGCACGAAAGCGUGGGGAGCAAACAGG